AACCCAGAUCAGUCGUUCCCAACAAUGCAUCUCUGUGAUUUUCAUGGCCACCUUACCGGAAAAUGAAAUCCCCAAAAUGUCUGCAAUGGGAGUGAUGACCUGGAAACGUCUCUGUGACCUGUUUUGGAAACUGAAUGCUUCAUCCAUCUUACAAACCUAGAGAGCAAGGGAGAGAAGAGACUAUUCCUGACUCCUCAUAACUGGGCCCAUUGGUGGGUCACCAUCCUCGCAACUUGGCUGCGCUUGAGCACCGGGACUUCCCCCAGAGGUCCUGCUUUUCCACAGA